UCUGCUGCACACGGACGUCCCUGUGCGUCAUCGUCAAGGCAACGUCACUAGGCCAGGGCUGGCCCAGACCGGAGAAGAGGGCCUCCCGGUGAAAAUGGACAGCCCGGAACGACUAACCCUCCCCACCGGACGGUCCCUGCAGCAUAGAUGGCCCGGACCAGCUCACCCUUCCUUCCCACCGAGGGGAAUAGCCACAAAACGCCAUCCUAACCCACUGCCCAUUCUACAUUGUAUCGAGGGAAGAGACACAAGAACAUGCCCUGCCGGCCAGGAAAAUCAGUGGAGGGAGGGACCAAAACUUACAGAGGCUGCGACGGCAUAAAUCUCCUCUAGAAUGCCUCUUAUCACUUCAGAUGUCCUUGGAAUGUCUGGCUACAUUUGUCUGACCUGGAUAGAAGUGCCGUUUCUAAUGAUGUCUCAAUUAUUCUGGAACGCAGAGUGAUGAGCUCUAG